rnacentral:rRNA from 1 species
GAUGAACGCUGGCGGCGUGCCUAAUACAUGCAAGUCGAGCGAACAGACGAGGAGCUUGCUCCUCUGACGUUAGCGGCGGACGGGUGAGUAACACGUGGAUAACCUACCUAUAAGACUGGGAUAACUUCGGGAAACCGGAGCUAAUACCGGAUAAUAUAUUGAACCGCAUGGUUCAAUAGUGAAAGACGGUUUUGCUGUCACUUAUAGAUGGAUCCGCGCCGCAUUAGCUAGUUGGUAAGGUAACGGCUUACCAAGGCAACGAGGCGUAGCCGACCUGAGAGGGUGAUCGGCCACAUUGGAACUGAGACACGGUCCAGACUCCUACGGGAGGCAGCAGUAGGGAAUCUUCCGCAAUGGGCGAAAGCCUGACGGAGCAACGCCGCGUGAGUGAUGAAGGUCUUCGGAUCGUAAAACUCUGUUAUUAGGGAAGAACAAAUGUGUAAGUAACUAUGCACGUCUUGACGGUACCUAAUCAGAAAGCCACGGCUAACUACGUG